UACGUAGGGGGCAAGCGUUGUCCGGAUUUAUUGGGCGUAAAGAGCGUGUAGGCGGCUGGGUAGGUCUGCUGUGAAAACUCGAGGCUCAACCUCGGGACGUCGGCGGAAACCCUCCAGCUAGAGUCCGGAAGAGGAGAAUGGAAUUCCUGGUGUAGCGGUGAAAUGCGCAGAUAUCAGGAAGAACACCCGUGGCGAAGGCGGUUCUCUGGGACGGUACUGACGCUGAGACGCGAAAGCGUGGGGAGCGAACAGG
rnacentral:rRNA from 1 species